AAGGUUGUUCUAACAAGUCUGAUACAGUCAUGAUAUAACAAGAAUGUUACAAGGUUGUUCUAACAAGUCUGAUACAGUCAUGAUAUAACACUAUAACAAGAAUUUUAUAUGUUGGACCACACAGGGUUGUAACAAUAUUGUUAUAUCAUGACUGUAUCGGACUUGUUGGAACAACCUU